AUUUGCUUAGUUGCACUAACAGAGUGUUACUGUUCACAGAAAUGCUAAACUAAGAGUCUUUUGCUUAGUAGCUCUAACAUAAAUUCAUGAGCUUAAAACUACUAAAACAUUAAAAUCUGUAUUUCUGCAUUGCAAAUGACAUUUCAUUUCACAUGGAGAAACAUCUUUCACGUGGGCAAGCUUAAGUCUUAACACUGCAUAAACCAGCUUUCUCUAAAAAAGAAAGAAGGCUUUCAGCAUGUGUGGCCUUGCAUUCUGGUCAUUUGCUUAGUUGCACAAACAGAGUGUUACUGUUCACAGUAGCACUAAACUAAGCAUCUAAUAAUUAGUAGUGCUAACAUAAGUUCAUGAAUAUAAAACUAGUAACUCACCAAAACCUGUUUGUCUUCAUUGCAAAAACAUUUCAUUAAAGAUGUUAGAUACAUCUUUCAUGUGGGCAAACUUUAGUCUUAACAGUGCAUAAAACAACUUUCUCUAGCAGAGAAAGAAGGUUUUCAGCAUGUGUGUCCUUUAGGUCUUUAAAUAGUAGAUGGACUGCCAUAUAUGUAGUAAUGUAGCAACAUAAUAUAUUGGAAAUGUGUUAAUUACUUUGUUUCAUUUCAGGUCCAAAAACUUUCUGCCUUGGGCUAUAUGCCCAUAUUAUUUAUCAGCCAGAGGCACAAGGGCACAGGCAAGUAGAUGGCAGAUGUAGUCACGCAUCUGCCACCAACGCAAAACAACACGCGUUUCUUAACCAGCAUGAAGAGGGUAUAUGACUUCAUAAUCAAACUGGAUGAUGUGCCCCAGCCCCAGCAAGACCAGCCCCUCCACCUAGACCAGCCCCUUCCCCUAGACCAGCCUUAGCAAGACCAGCCCCUAGACCAGCCCCAGAAAGACCAGCCCCUGCCCCUAGACCAGCCCCAGAAAGACCAGCUAAUCCCACAAGACCAGCCCCUAGACCAGCCCCAGAAAGACCAGCCCCUCCCCCUAGACCAGCUAAUCCCACAAGACCAGCCUACCCCAACAGACCAGCAAAUUAUUACACUUGAACUAUUUACGAUCAACUCCCAGGCUCAGCAGCAUGUGGAGCCUCUACCACCCAGGAAAAGACAAACCCCACUAUCCACCCCGGGCCUACCAUCCACCCCAGGCCAAGGCAGACGAGCCCCACCAUCCAUCCAACCUCAGCUAAAGAAAAGACAAACCACAGGUACAGGAGCCACACAAGCCCCACCCUCUACCCUGGCCAAAAAGAAGAAAACAAAAAGCAAGUAGACAUUCUUUGCACCCCAUGUGUAUAUUUGUUUCUAUUCUUUUUACCCCAUGUGUAUAUCAGCAGCCAUGUGUUGGGUGUAAAGGUGUUUUUGCAUGUAGCCCCCUUUAAUUGGACCAAACUCAGGGUGUAUUCACACUUGGUCUCUUUCAGCCCUCAAAGUGAACUAAGAACAGUGACUCAUAUACUGUAUGAACACCUCAAGCAAACUCAGACCCAUCUGAAGUGAACCAAACUUUUUUUUUUUUUUGCCUUUGUCAUUUAAGGUUGCAAAUGCAGUUGACAGACAAUUUAUCCAUACGAUAAAAUAUUGGAAAGACGGAUGAAUGGGGGGAAGGCAGCAGAGGUCAAAGUGCACUGGCUACCUUGCUCUUCCUGGUAAGUGAUGGCUGAUGUAAUUUAAUCCAUAGUUGCACACAGUCUUAGUGUUUUAAAACCUGGUCCCUUUCAGCCUUCAAAGUGAACUUUGAAGUGAAAGUAAAAGUCGGACUAAUAAUUGUUUUGGGCACAAGGAACUAUCUAAGCAUUCUCGGAUCCCUUUUAAAGUGAACUGAACUGAGAUCACAUGAGAACAUGUGCACACCAGCCUUCAGGUAGUCAUCUGGCUCAAGUUUGGUCAUAUGACAUCUGAAGCAAAUACAUUCUAACCUGUUUGCCCUAUACAUUUGCUAAUUCUAUUUUGGUUAUUUGGGUUAUUUUAUACGGUGUUUACCAAACAGCAGUUAUUUUUACAAAGUGAAACCUCCCAUUAUGAACCAAAUGUAGUCCAAUUUAAAUGGCCUGUGAGGUGGACUGAACCAAAAACAACUCUUGUCUCUUUGUGUUCACAUUAUGAGUUCACUUAAAGAUGAUGCAGAUCACUUUCUAGUCCACUUCAGCUCUGAUGGGGUCUUAAGCCCAAUUCAUAGUUACAUGUAGAUGCGACGCAGAUGCCUUUGUUGUGCCACUGCAUCUUUGCUGACCCCCUCUGCGGCCGACAUAGAGGCCUUUAACCACGUCAUUUUUGUGCCCAUCCCAUUGUGGUGAGUAUUUUCAUAGCAACACGGUUAACCCGAUGCAGAACUUCAAAGUGUUGACUGUAGGGAUGACUGUGUCAAAAGCGACUGAGUCCAGUACUUUUCACAUGGAACAAAAUGACUGCUGCUUGACAGACGCCAUAUAAAAUAAACCAAAAGAAAUUAUCCAACAGAAAAAGAGUAAACCUUUAUUUUUCAGCUUCAGAUGACAUACAGUAUCUUCAAACUUGAGCCAGAAGACUAGUUGUGAGCUGUAGGCUGUACUGUAUAUGCUGUGUGUAAGAUGACUUUUGGACUAUUUACAGUGGCAGAGUCUGGAAGGACACCUGGGAGCCAGCCAGCAAAUUCACCUGAUGACCAAUACUGUUGUACUAUUUGUUUUGUAUAUAUUUGUCAAUAAUUAAAUGGACUAUUGUUAUAUUUUAAGAUUUGUCUGUCAAUCAAUGACUGCACUGAAAAAUUAAUGUGUCAUGACUUUGUGAUGUAUUUGAGUACAACUAAGCAACUAACUAAGCAAGCCAAAAGCCAAGGCAACCAGAACAAGUACCAAAUUGGCAUUAUACUAACUGAUCAUGAAAAUUUUAGUUAGUAUUGAUGGUAAUUUUGGAGCAAAGUAAAUGGACUCCUAUCCCUGGUGACAGAUGCCUCCUGCAUCAGGAUGUAUUACUGAAUCCUUUUUUUUUUUACCUCUGAUCACUAGCACACAACAUUUUGUUUUUGUUAUCAUGGUUGUCUGUUCAGAACAAUUAUGAGAGUUCUUAAGACAUUUCAAACAUCCCCAAUGAAGAGAAGACGCACAUUUAUCAAUUUUCAUCAA